AUUGAACGCUAGCGGGAUGCUUUACACAUGCAAGUCGAACGGAGUGGCGAACGGGUGAAUAAUGUAUCGGAACGUGCCCAGUAGCGGGGGAUAACUACGCGAAAGCGUAGCUAAUACCGCAUACUAUUGGAGCGGCCGAUAUCGGAUUGGCUAGUUGGUGGGGUAACGGCUUACCAAGACGACGAUCCGUAGCUGGUUUGAGAUGACGACCAGCCAGAUUGGGACUGAGACACGGCCCAGACUCCUACGGGAGUCAGUAGUGGGGAAUUGUGGACAAUGGGGGAAACCCGGAGCCAGCCAUCCCGCGUGUGGGAUGAAGGCCUUCGGGUUGUAAAGCACUGUUGGCAGGAAAGCGGUACCUGCAGAAUAAGCACCGGCUAACUACGUGCCAGCAGCCGCGGUAAUUC
rnacentral:rRNA from 1 species